UACGGGGGGAGCAAGCGUUGUUCGGAUUUACUGGGCGUAAAGGGCGCGUAGGCGGCGUGACAAGUCACUUGUGAAAUCUCCGGGCUUAACUCGGAGCGGUCAAGUGAUACUGUCGUGCUAGAGUGCGGAAGGGGCUACUGGAAUUCUCGGUGUAGCGGUGAAAUGCGUAGAUAUCGAGAGGAACACCUGCGGCGAAGGCGGGUUGCUGGGCUGAUACUGGCGCUGAGGCGCGAAAGCCAGGGGAGCGAACGGG
rnacentral:rRNA from 1 species